rnacentral:lncRNA from 1 species
GCCACAUAUAAUUCUAGUAUCUUUCUUUUUUUCUUUUUUUCUAGUUUUUAUACUAUGAGGAAGUAGCAAGUCCCGCUUUUCACCAAUUUAGAAAAUUUGGAAAAAAAAGAAGAGAAGAAGAUAUUUGGAACUCAUGUGGUCGAGACUUACGUAAGUCUCGCCAAAUGUGAUUCAAGCAUCUUUCUUCUCUUCUUUUUUUUAGUAUUUUUAAUAUUUUCGUCGUAAUAUCGUCGUUAGUUUACGACUCUUUUACGACGAUUUUGGCUUACGUGGAAUUAGCGUGCCCCGCUUUUUUAAUUUCGUCGUAAACUCUUCGUGGCCUUACGAGGUGUUCACGACGAAAUCAUCCUACGUGGAAUUAAAGAGUGCCUCCUUCGUCAUUUACUUUACGUGGUAUUUACGUCAAUUUACCUUACGAGGUCUUUACGACGAUUCUGUCCUACGUGGAAUUAAAGAGUGCCUCCUUCGUCAUUUA